UUGCAGACACACAAAAGAAGGGGAAAACAGAGGCCCACCGAUGUGAUAAUACUUGUCAGAUGCUAUUAACAGCAGGGCGCAGUUAAUUGAGUGUGUUGCGUUAUCACCUGGCUUUAGCCAUGAUGGCUACUGCUGACGUCCACGCGGAACUGUAGCUGGAUGGAGAAUCAAAAGCUGUUUUCUGCCUGUUGCUUCUAUUAGAAAUUACAGCCUUUGAGUUACAGAGUUUAAGGGCACCGCAGGGAUCAUUUUGUCCAUCUCCCUGCCCCACGGCAGAGCCAGGCCUAAAUCAUUCAGCCAGCCUGCGGGCUCGGGCUGAAACAGUGGGGAGGUGCCUGGGGAGGAGAAGAGAACGAUGGGGAGGAGAUCCCCUUUCCUACCAGCUGCCUUUCUGUCAAGGGCGGGGACAGUCAGCUUGGGGUUUGCUUGUACCCAUUGCCCGUUCCACUUUAUUCUGCAGUCUGGGAAGCAGGCAAAGGGCUGGAUCAGCCCCUUGCAAGUGCCCAGCAGAGCACUUGUCACAGCUUCCCUCGCUGUAGAAUCACUUUGGUCUCCAGCGUCCAUUUCCACAAAGUGCUGUACCUGCGGGUGGCCUCAAAAAUGCGGCUCGCCCGCCGCUGCUCAUCAGGAGAGCCCCACAGCAGAGCUCACUGUUAAGGAAGUCCCGUCUCCAGCAGCCAGCCUUGUGCUGCAUUCACUGGAAACAAUCUUUCCCUGUUCAUGUCUCCUUCACAGAGCUGUCUGAUUACACUCUUGUCCUGCUGCGUGCCUGCUGUGAUCUACAGGUUGUUCCGGCAUUGUGUUGCUUGCCUAAUAUCGCUUCAGCUGACGGCACCUUGGCACUGAGCAGUCCUUUGGUGGCUACUCUGACUGACAGAGGAAGAUUCGAUGUCGUGCAAAGGCUUUUUGCUUCAUCAAGCAUUAAUUUGGAAAUGACAGAGUCUUCUGUAAAAGUUGUCACUGCGAGAGAACCUCGCUUCUUCCCGCUCCUUCUUUAUGUUGCACUGUACGGACUUCAUAGUUUAGGUGGGACUGCAUAGGAGCUUUGCUGAGCAGUCACUGUCCCAGCCUGUUCUUAAUUCUGUAGCUGUGCAAUAGCGCCGAGGUUUGUGAGCUGGCAAUAGAGCAGCUGAAUACUAGGGGGUCUGUGGGGGCGAGGCAGGCGGCAGCGAGCCCUCUGCUGCCGUAAGAAGGUGAGCUGCAGCUCCGCAAUUUCACUAAGGUAACGUCUGCAGUGGAAAAUACAUAAAUAAGUAAAUAAGGAAUGCAGGGGAGGAAGGAAGAAAAAAAAAAGACAAGCCUGGAACAGAAAUUGAACAUAGCUGUUCUGAUAGUUGUCAGAUCUGCAGAGCGGUAGAAGCCUGAUUGCUCGCAUUAAUAUGCGUGGGAGAAAACUGCAAAGUACCAACUGCUUUUUGUAAGCAGGCAAACAGGCCGUGGAAGUCCAAGGUUCUGCAGUGCAGUGUAUGUUUUGCUCAUUUGAAACCUGAGGUGCAGAAUGCCUUCAAUCUGGAGGAGGUGAAGUGGAGGGCUCUGGAAGAGGUACUUAAUUAGGUUUUCAUUUAUUAAGUGUAGUUUGGCAUCAAGCCAUGUGAACUGCACGCUGCAGGAAAUAAUAAACUCUUUUUUCAAAAAACUAAGACCACCUUAGGGAUUUAUGCCUCUGUUUUCAACUAAGUUUUUACUAAGCGUAGCAAGUUUCAGCUGUUCAAAUUGCAUUUUGAACUUUCUCUUUGAGAUAUUGUGAUGCCUUCUGGUAUGUGCGUACGAAAUGUCCCUGCAGCACUCCACCAAAGCAAUCGUUUCAUCCAUGUGACAUUUUCAGUGCGGGUGUUUUGCUUAUGCCUUUGACUAAUGGCAAAGAGUUAGCAAAGCACUUUGUGCUUUGAGCUGUUUUGUCUUUUUUUAAUCAUACUUUUCUGUGAUCGUGCGAAUGGGACAGAAGCGCAGUGGAGAUCACUGUAAAUAGGGGCUGGGGAAGAUGUUGUUCCAGAUAAAUGGAAUAUCGGUGCUUUCAGGUAAGACUGAGAUGGCUGACAGGGAAGCAAGCAGGUGUCUGUAGGGAGGGCUGGUCAGUGCACAGGCCCUCCAGUUUACAUAAAGGGUAGGAAUCGUAGCUUCAGUUUUCUGCUCUGUUCCCACAUGGUCUUGAGCAGAUCGCCCAAGAGGUCUUCAAAAGCUCAUGUCAGUUAAGCUUUCCCUGAGAAAAUGGACUUUGCAAAAAAAGCACCGUGGUACCUUUCCGUACCUGAGAGCGCAAGAUACUUUCGCAGACUGAAGUGUUGGCGUUUCUGUGUCUCGUGUGUAAAAUGAAGCUCACAGUGUUGCCUGAACGUGGCACUGGUGGAUAUGGAAAUGUCCUUUUGGGGGGGGGGGGGUGUAGGAGUGCUUGUAGGAGUUGUGCGUUUGUAAACGGGAAGGUUUUUCUGCCAGCCACUGCUCAAAAGUUGCCUCUGUAACUAAUUUAUCAGAAAUUUGUAUUAAAUGUCAUAGCAAAACAAUAGAAUGACUUAAAACUUAAUGUACCUGAUUUCUGCUUAUCCUUUUUUGAUUCCCGUCAUACCCUUGGCUUUGAAAGUUGGUGCACACAGGCACGAAGAGGACGUGUGAAUCCGUGUAGUGCUACCGUUCGCUUGUCCUGGUCUUCAGAGUCUUGGUGAUGGAUCCUCUUCCCUGCAGAAGCCGGUGGUUGUGCAUGGCAGCCACCAGUCUUGGCUCUGUCCUUUAUGUGCUGCCUCUCCUCUGGGAUCACAGAAGCACCUCUAGACGAACAGAUAGCCUGGAAUGCUUUUUGAAAAACAGAGUAGCACAGGUGGGUAAAAAUGAGCUGCUAAAGCAAUUUAUACGUUCACGUCUCUCUAUGUAACAAUUCAUUUCU